rnacentral:tRNA from 1 species
UCCAGGGUAGCCUAGUGGACAUGGCACCUGCCCGGUAAGCAGAAGGGUUGUGGGUUCGAUUCCCGCCCCUGGAC